CCCUUAGAUGUUCUGGGCCGCACGCGCGCUACAAUGAUGAAUUCAACGAGUUUAUAACCUUGGUUGAAAAGCCUGGGUAAUCUUUUGAACUUUCGUCGUGAUGGGGCUAGACCCUUGCAAUUAUUGGUCUCCAACGAGGAAUUCCUAGUAAACGCAAGUCAUCAGCUUGCAUUGAUUACGUCCCUGCCCUUUGUACACACCGCCCGUCGCACCUACCGAUUGAAUGGUCCGGUGAAAUCUUCGGAUUGAGACUUUGUUUUCUUCACGGAAAACGCUGUUUUAAAAAGUUGAUUAAACCUUACCAUUUAGAGGAAGGUGAAAUCGUAACA
rnacentral:rRNA from 1 species